AGAGAAAUGACUGAGAGGUUUAUAGUUAUAAAUUGCUAAUUUAUUGUAUAAAUAAUAUAUUUUUAUUAUACCAAGGGUUCGAAUCCCUUUUUCUCUA
rnacentral:tRNA from 1 species